UGAGAGCUUGUUCUCAACUAGCCUCCCUGGUUAAAUAAAGGUGAAAUAUAUAUAUCUUAUUUCUGUCCUACAUGUAGCGUUGGUACAUGGAAUAUUCCUCAACUGCAUAUAUCAUAAAUUGCUAUUGCAAAUAGAAGUAUUAUGUUUAACAACUGAUAUUUUCAGAUAUUAUUCUGACAAACACACUUUGGUGCUUACAAUUCAUUCUCUAUUGUCAGAGAUUUGGUGGGCACUGUCAUCUGUGAUCUUUGUGAUAUGACUUUCUUUAAGCAUGUACUGAUGAAAGCGCCAAUUAAUAUUUUUUUUCUUAAAAGUCUACAACACUACAAUUUUUCACUCUGUGAUAGGUUUGGAUCCUUUAUGCUACUUUUAUUAUUGUCCUGUAAAUUGUUCAGUGCCUAUAAUUUAGGCUGUUUGUAGAAUGGGGCAUAAAGGAAAUUGCCACUACUACUAAAUUACUAGAUUAUAGUGAUAAGGAAAACAGCAUACAAAUUUGGCCUGUGUAUUCAUUUGCCUAUAACUAAUCAGAAUUCCAUUAUGUUUACAUAAAAAAAACAGAAUACUUCAAAAUGAGAAGAUCCUGCCAUGAAAAAGACGACUGGGUGGACAUACAGUGGAAAGGAGGGGAAAUACCUCCCACCAUGCAGCAGGACACCUUCAGCUGCGGGGUCUUUGUAAUGCAGAUGGCCAAGGAAGUUGCACAGAACUUCCCCAACAUCCCCUCCCAUGGAGCAACUGCGAAAAUAAAUGGCUGAGGAUAUACUAAAAAUGUCUGAGUUCAACAAAGCCAACAACUGCUUCAUGUGUGCCACUGAUAAAGAACCUGGAUGUGGCCCAAAGACUGACUGGUUUAAGUUUAUUUAACAUGUUUAUAAUCUUUUGACAACAGUGACGGCAUGUAAGACAAUUCAUGAUGUAACACAAUGGAUGGCUAAUUCGUCAUUCAUCAAACUGCAUUUAUAUUUGAUAUUAUUUAUAACGUGUUACUCUUUGUUUUGUUUUGAUUUAAUGUUUUGCAUGCCAACUGUGGUUCCAUGUGCUGUUCCUAGGAAUGAAGACAAAAGAGUUCAAAAGAGUAAAGAACAGAAACUGGAAGUGCUGUCUUUGUUGUUGAAAAUGUAUGCUAUACCCCAUCCACACUAAAGAGGCUCUGAAAUGUACAUCAAACCGGGAUACAGAGAAAGUUAACACUGCAAAAUGUUUCAUACUUAUUUGAAGUUAAGUGCCUGACAUGUUUGAAAAGAUUAAAGGUCUACAAUUUCUGUUUAAUUUGUCAAUAUAACAUUUUUAUUCAUUGGUUUACUGGCCACCAUUACUGUGGUUACAUGUUCAGUAUAUGUAUUGACCAGCAAACCCACUGCAGCCUACCUCACCAGCUCACUCUCCAUCCCUGCUUUGGACAAUUCUUAGCAUGACUCUCGUACUUUGCCCUUUUCCUUUAUGGUUGAUAUUAACGACGAAAGGAGAUAUUAUCUGUCUCUCUCUUAUUGUGUACCGCUGGAAAAUAAGUACUUAGAACAACCAAUUAUUAUAGAUAAAUAUGAAAGAAAAGGGUAAACACAACACUGCACUGAACCCCCUAAUUGUCAAACGAAUAUUAAUGUACAACAAUAUAGAAUAUACAAGACUAGAGGUUAAUUCCACUGCACGCUUCUUAGGUGUGUAAUUGACAUGAUCAAGUAGCUAUUGAUAUCUGAAAUGAUGAAAAAUGUACGUUACACCGCGUGAUUUUACAGUACAAAAACAAGAGUGCGCAAUAUAGGAUAGUCAGUGGACAUUCUGAACCUUGUUUGAAGUCAUUAGGUCACAUGAUCAAGGAGCUAUUUUAAUUCUUGAAAAAUUCAUGUUGAAUCUUGUGAGAUGAAAAUGGACAAACUAAAGGGUGUGCAAUAUGGAAGGGUAGUCAGUGGACAUUCUGAACCU